rnacentral:RNase_P_RNA from 1 species
UGCUGCGGCAGGACGGCCGCUGGGCCCCUCUUCAGGGGGUCCAGAGGAAAGUCCGAGCACGGAAGAACACGAUGGUGGGUAACACCCACCCGCCCGAACGUUGGUCGCGGGCGAGGGACAGUGCCACAGAAAGCAAACCGCCGAUGGCCCGCCGAAAGGCAGGAUCAGGCAAGGGUGCAAGGGUGGGGUAAGAGCCCACCGCCCGGGUGGUGACAUCCGGGGCACGGCAAACCCCAUCGCGUGCAAGGCCAAGCAGCCCUUGAGGCCGCAUCCGUAAGGAUUCGGUCGCCGCCUGUUCGGCGGUCUUUCAAGGGCGGGUAGGCUGCUUGAGCCCCUCGGCAACGGGGGGCCUCAGAGAAAUGGCCGUCGCUCAUCGGAAGGCGUGAUUCCUCAAGCCCCCGUCAAAUGGACCGGGGAGUCACGAACCGCCGGCGACACAGAACUCGGCUUACGGCCGCAUCGACCA